ACCUGCAUCGGCAGGUGAACUCUGUGCUCCGCAACGGGCUAAUGAUCUUGUCUUUGCUGAGUGCACCUGACUUGCCUCCCAUUAGUUCUGAGCCAAAGAAAAAUAAUUAUUUCUUUCAUAUCCAUGAAUGUGUAAACUUUGUUCCACCCUCUCCCAAAUAGGAGAAGAAUAUAUCCCACUUUAAUAUGCUCCAAGUUAAUAAGAAUGAGAGAUUGUUGCAUAUGACUAAUCAGCAUGAGGUUCAACCCAUAAGCAUUAAUUGAUUUUAUAAUAAUUCCUGUGAAAGUCAGUAUGGUACCAUUGAGGAAAGAAUUAGAUUUAAUAUCAGCCAAACCUCAGUUGAUAUUCUAGUUCUAAUACUAGUUGUGUGAACUUGAUCAAGUUCCUUAAAUUUGGGGGUCUUAUCUGUAAUGUGAGGUUAGCAAUAUCUACCUUCCAGUGUUGUUAUGAUGAUGAAAUAAUUGAUAUAUGUAAUGCACAUCUUACAUAGUGUUCCAUAAAUUAUGAUUUUUGUACUGGAAAAACUGAAGUUUCAUCUUCACUGAUAGUUGUAUUACCUUUCUUCUGAUAAACCUCAGAUGCCUGCUACUUAUUUUGUCCCCUUUGGACAUUUGCUAAAGAUUUGAUGGUUAUUCAGCUCUCUGGUGAGAAAAUCUUUAUACAAAGAUUGCCAUACUUUGUACCAUGCUACCCUGCCUUUCUGGCCAACAUUUGAUUGGUCUAUAACCAGCUGACUGAUCAAAGAGCUAGUAGCCUACGGCUUAGUGUAGGGAUUAGACAAGAGUACAAAAAAAGCCACUUGUAUCUUUCUGUGAGGGAAUUUUUAAUGUGACGCUCACAAAAAUGUUUCUUCUUCUUUCCUAUUUUCCAGUAUACCCUCAUAAUAAAUCCCCAUUAUUUGCAUUUUGCCUGAGCGUGUCUCUGUUCAUCCAGUGCAACUGAAAAGAUAACAUAUAACGCAGUUCUUCCUUUCAUUUCAUUAAUAAUAUGGUACCCAUGUGAUAUUGUUAACGGUGAACAUUUUUUCCUGUUAAAGAAUGGUAUUAAAGACCAUUGUCUACUUUACUUUCAAGGAAUAGAAUGGCAUCACUGGGAAUUCCCCCAGAAGCACAAGAACUAGAUAUGAAGGAUAAAACUGCCCACUGGUCCAGGUUCCUGAUAAAAUUACUAUCUGAAGCCAACAAGAGGAGUCAGAUACACUUUCAAGGAUCUUUGCCAUCAUAUAAUUCUUCAAGACUGAUGCAAUAUAUUUUAAGAAGCAUAAUCCAAAGAUCAGAAGACAGAGACAUAUGUAGCAUUGUUAUUCUUAGUUCUUAGUUCCAGUUCCAGUUCAUUCUCUUGACUUGUCAUUGGCCCCCUGACAGAGUCUACUCCAAAUCAUCAGGUAAAGACAAAGACAAAGUUCUCAGUUGUUAGCUGCCUAAAACAUAAUACAGAUUACAAAUGGUGACAUUUUUGAUUUCUGGCAGAAUUCUUAGAAAGACACUCCGGCUACUCAGAAGGUGGAUUGAGCACUAAAAAUACUAGAGCAUAUCAAAUGUAAAUGACUCUGGUAUUUCAGAAGGAUGGAGAAGUGUGCCAAUGUGUUGCUGUUACCACUUAAACAUUUCUGAUUUUAAAUUCAGGAAAGUACCUCCAGACCAGAAAGCUGAGAAAAGAGAUAGUUUUGUUUUUCAAGCACU